GUUAUGUUCUCAAGUUCACAGGUUCUUUCCUCAACUGUGUUCAGUCUACUGUGAACCCAUCAAAUGCAUUUAUUUCUGUUACAGUAUUCUUGAUCUCUAGCAUUUCUUUGUUAUUCUUUCUUAGAAUUUCCAUUUAUCUGCUUAUAUUAUGCACCUGUUCUUGCAUGUUGUAUAUUUUGCCAUUAAAUACCUUAAUCAUAGCUUUCUAAAAUUCCUGGUCUGGUAAUUCCAACCUUGGUGCCAUGUCUGACUCUGGUUCUGAUGCUUGUUCAUCUCUUCAAACUUUGCUUUUGCCUUUUACUAUGCCUCAUAAUUUUUUGUUAAAAGAUGUACAUGAGGUAUUAGGUAAAGGGAACUGAGAUAAAUAGGUCUUCAGUAAUGCAGUGAUGAAGUAUGGAGGGAAGGAGAGCAUUCUCUUUUUUAACUUUUUAUUUUAUAUUGGAGUAUAUCCAAUUAACAAUGUUGUGAUAGUUUCAGGUGGACAGCAAAUGAACUCAGCCAUACAUAUACAUGUAUCCAUUCUCUCCCAAACAGGGGAAGUGUUCUUUAAUUCUGUGAUGGGUCUCAGCCUUGCUUUCUGAGCCUUGCUUCUGGGCUGUAAACUUCACAGGUGCUCUCAAUUUUUAGGUGGGACAAGUUGAUGAGAAAAGGCUAAAAUUUCCCUCCUGCCAGGUCAGUUGCACAUGUGCUCAGUUGCUUAGUCAUGUCCGACUCCCUGCGAGGCUCUUGUGUCCAUGGAAUUUUCCGGCCAGAAUACUGGAGUGGGUUGCCAUUUCCUCCUCCAGGGGAUCUUCCCAACCCAGGGAUGAACCACGUCUCUUGGGUCUCCUGCAUUGGCAGGUGGAUUCUUUACCACUGUGCCAGCUGGGGAAACCCCCAAGUCAGAUAGGCUGUGAUAAAAGCCCAGCAGGUUAGGCUGUGCUUAAUUAGUUUCUCCUGAGUUAAGCUUGUUAAGGGCGUGCUCUGGUGUAUUGCAAAAUGGUACCCCUACCCCACACCCCAGUAGAAUCUGGAGAGGAUUUUCCUCUGAUAUUCACUGUGAGAACCUAGUCUGAGCUCCUGGAGCUCAUGAAAGCACGGAGGUCCCCCAUGACUGGGCCCCUCUAGAGUUUUUAAUUCUCAGAUUUGUCCACACUGAGCCUCCAGCAGUUCACUAACUGCAGUUCGGGUUUUUCUGCCUCAGCACUGCUUCCUGCAGCCGUUUCUGCUCUGCCAUCUCUCAGGCAGGGUUGAGAAUCACAUUGAUGGUUUGCUGCUGUCAAUUGUAAAGUAAAAUAUGGCCGUGGAUUUGUUCAUGAACUGCUGAUAUUGCGAACAUCCGUGAUGGUGAAGCAUCGAUGUGUACCCAAAUGCUGCUGGAAGAACGUAUUCACUUCAUCUACAUUAGUUAUGAGAGAUACAUUAGCCCGCCCUCUAGUGGACGUUUGCAAAAAUGACACAAAGACGUCUUGCAAGAUUAAAUUAUUAAAUUGUAUGCUUGAGAGAGCCCUGGUUGAGGCUCUCAAUAUUAUUUAAUCCAAUCAGUCAUUUUGUGCUUGAGGAAAUGUAACAAACUUACUUAUGACAAUAAUAGAAUGUCUUCACAAUGUGUAUGUUUUUUCGUUUGUAUUUUCUUGGUAAUUUUUUGUUUGUUUAAUUUCAUUUGAGUACAGUUGGUGGCUCAGAGAGUAAAGAUUCUGCCUGCAUUGCGGGAGAUCUGGGUUCAAUCUCUGGGUUGUGA
ensembl:lncRNA